UACGGGGGGGGCAAGCGUUGUUCGGAAUUACUGGGCGUAAAGGGCUCGUAGGCGGCCAACUAAGUCAGACGUGAAAUCCCUCGGCUUAACCGGGGAACUGCGUCUGAUACUGGAUGGCUUGAGAUUGGGAGAGGGAUGCGGAAUUCCAAGUGUAGCGGUGAAAUGCGUAGAUAUCUGGAGGAACACCGGUGGCGAAGGCGGCAUCCUGGACCAACACUGACGCUGAGGAGCGAAAGCCAGGGGAGCAAACGGG
rnacentral:rRNA from 1 species